AUCUGCAAUCUUCAAGUGUUUUGCAGCUCAAUCAUCUGGACCCCUGGCGGGCACCACACUGACACUUUAAACCCUGUAAAUGGCAGCAGUGCUGGGAGGCACCAGGAGAAAAGUCAAGUGCUUCAGGACAGAGCAGCUUGCUAAGUGGACACAGCAUGUGCAAGCAGCCAGCCCCACAUUUGCGUUUCGCUUGGGCUCUCCAGAUGUUCCCAGACUUCUCUCUGCCACUUCUUGCUUAGAGCCACCCUUUUGGUGUCUGACCUCUCAGCAAUCUCACCUUAGCAAACAGGGAGUGAAUCCACUUUUGGAUCCCAAUCACCACAGCAUCCUUCAGGGCACAGAAAAGUCUCCAGGUUGGAUUCCCAUGGACGAAGCCAUUUGCCUGCCUUGGGCUGGGCUGGAUGCUGCCUGCAGAAUGAGCUGCAGCACCUUUGUGCCUCCACAGCACUGAUGCUCGCAGGCAUGCAAAGCAAUAUGGACCUCUGUGGCUGCAAAAUGAGCUGAGUGUCAAAAGCCUGAUCCCCUCCCAGAAAAGCUUCUCCUGCAAGACCUUCUCUUGUCCCACACUGAGUUGAAAGAUGCAUCAAAUACUCU